GCGGUGAAAUGCGUAGAUAUCUGGAAGAACACCAGUGGCGAAGGCGGUCAACUGGCCCGUAACUGACGCUGAGGCACGAAAGCGUGGGGAGCGAACAGGAUUAGAUACCCUGGUAGUCCACGCCCUAAACGAUGAAUACUUGGUGUUGGUCCGUAAGGAUCAGUGCCGAAGGAAACCUGAUAAGUAUUCCACCUGGGGAGUACGCUCGCAAGGGUGAAACUCAAAUGAAUUGACGG
rnacentral:rRNA from 1 species